rnacentral:rRNA from 1 species
GACGAACGCUGGCGGCGUGCCUAAUACAUGCAAGUAGAACGCUGACUGCGGAGCUUGCUUCUCUGGAUGACUUGCGACCGGGUGAGUAACGCGUAGGUAACCUGCCUGUUAGCGGGGGAUAACUAUUUGCCACGAUAUCUAAUACCGCAUAACAGUAGAUAUCGCAUGAUAUCUACUUGAAAGGUGCAAUUGCAUCUCUACCAGAUGGAUCUGCGGUGUAUUAUCUAUUUGGUGUGUUAGCGGCUCACCAAGGCCACGAUGCAUAGCCGACCUGACAGGGUGAGCGGCAACACUGGGACUGAGACACGGCCCAGACCACUACGGGAGGGAGCAGUAGGGAAUUCUCGGGAAUGGACGGAAGUCUGACCGAGCAACGCCGCGUGAGUGAAGAAGGUUUUCGGGUCGUGAAGCUCUGUAGUAAGAGAAGAACGAGUGGGAGAGUGGAAAGUGCACACAGUGACGGUAUCUUACCAAAAAGAGACGGCUAACUACGUG